AGGGUUCGAUCCUGGUUCAGGAUGAACGCUGGCGGCGUGCUUAACACAUGCAAGUCGAACGAAGCACUUUUCUUGCUUGCAAGAAAAGUGACUGAGUGGCGGACGGGUGAGUAACGCGUGGGUAACCUGCCUUGCACUGGGGGAUAACAGUUGGAAACGGCUGCUAAUACCGCAUAUGCGCACAGUACUGCAUGGUACAGUGUGGAAAACUCCGGUGGUGCAAGAUGGACCCGCGUCUGAUUAGCUAGUUGGUGGGGUAACGGCCUACCAAGGCGACGAUCAGUAGCCGGCUUGAGAGAGUGAACGGCCACAUUGGGACUGAGACACGGCCCAA
rnacentral:rRNA from 1 species